UCACGGUUUGCACCGACCCUUUGCCAAAUGAUUUUUCACCCAAAAUAAUCGCCCUGUGAUGAUCUUGUAAAGCACCGGCCACAAUUUCAGAUGCAGAAGCCGAACCUUCAUUGAUAAUCACAACCAUCGGUAAACCUUCCGUCAUAUCACCGCUGUGCGCACUGUAUUUGACAUUGUCCGCUUCAUUGCGUGCACGGGUCGAAACAAUUUCACCCUCGCUCAAAAACAAAUCCGAUACCGCAACAGCCUGAUCGAGCAAGCCUCCGGGGUUGUUACGUA
rnacentral:ncRNA from 1 species